ensembl:lncRNA
UGAGAGCAUCCUCACUGGAUGCAUCACCACCUGGUAUGGCAACAGCACCGCCUACAACUGCAAAGCUCUCCAGCGAGUAGUGCGGUGCUCUGAACGGAUAAUUGGAGGUGAGCUUCCCUCCCUCCAAGAUAUCUACAGGAAGCGCUGCCUGAGGAAAGGGGGGAGGAUCAUCAAGGACUCCAGUCACCCCAGCCAUGAACUGUUCAGACUGCUUCCAUCAGGAAGGAGGUUCUGCAGCAUCCGGUCCCGUACCAGCAGACUGAGAGACAGCUUCUUCCAUCAGGCCAUCAGACUGCUGAACACGUCAUAGACACCUCAGCUUCACUACUGGAACUUCAACAUUAUGCACUCCACACUGUAUAUAAAUGCCACUUGUUUUGCACAUAUUCAACUCUGUAUAUUUAUAUAUUUUAUUAUUAUUAUUAUUAUUAUUUUUUUUUUUUUUACUAUUUAAUUUGUAAAAAUGUGUAUACACACACACACACACACACACACACACACACACACACACACACACACACACACACACACACACACGUAGGAAAAUAUUUAGUAUACACAUCCAGAAAUGCAUACACUAUUAUAUAUUGUACAUAUAUUUAUUAGUUUCAGGUUGGCCAUUCUUGUAUUUUGCUCGUUUGUGUUGUUGUGUUUGCACAUCUCUGUUGCUUGUGGGGCUCGCACACAAGAAUUUCACUCGCAUGUGCUGUGCCAGUGUGCCUGCACAUGUGAUGUGACAAUAAAAGUGAUUUGAUUUGAUUUGAUUUAAUUAGCAUAGGGACGCUGAAGGUCACUAUUCGCGUUCUUAUGGGGCCGAGGCAUCCCAUAAGAAUGUGACAAAUCUUUGGUAUGUUAUGUGUUUAGUAUGUUGCUUUGUUUUUGUUUUGUUUUUUUGUCUUUUUUGCUUGUUUUCUAUUCCUCUCUCAACAGGUGAUCCAGGAGAUUUUUAUUUUUUUUCUCCCCCCCUUUCUCACUGUCCCUCUCCCCUUCUGUUUUUCCUUUCCUUCCUCUUUCUCUCUCCCUUUCCUAUCCCUCACUCAUGUCUGUCCCGUCUGUAACAUCUGAAAAUAAAAUAUAAUAAAUAAUAAAAACAAAGAUCGACCAAAUGGACCAAUACGGCAAUGCCACGAUGAUCCAUUUGGCAAAGUAAAUCCAUUGGGUAUCCUUGUUGGUCUUCAGACAACAAUUCUGAUGGCUAAAGAACCAAAUGGGACAGGCGGAAAGAAAAGGGAAAAAAAAAGGAGAAAAAAGGAAAAAAAAAAGGAAAAAAGAGAAAAAAAGAAAGAAAAAAAAAAAAGGAAAAGAGAAUGGUCUCGGUCAAUCUGACCACUUUUCUGUGCUCCUCAUCCCUGCCCACAACCCCCUCAGGAAACAGAGUGCUCCAAGCACCCAGGUCAUUAAAACAUGGCCAGGUUAUGCUCUCCUCCAGCUACAGGACUGUUUUGAUCUGACAAAUUGUUCCGUCUUUGAUCAGCGGAACCUGGAGACGUGAUGCUUUAGCUCCGCUGAUUAAGAUGACCCUAUUAACUGCCAUUCAAUCUCAAAUAAGGCAUUUGUUCUCAAUGACCUUUUUAUUCGGAAUAACUUGUAUUUUAUGUUCCUAACCGAACCUUGGCAGCAGAAUAUGGAACGUGUUCAUUUUAGUGAACUGUGCCCAGCAGACUGUAAUUGUCUAACCACACUGCACCUUUCAGUACGUGGAGGUGGGCUGGAAGUUAUUGCUAGAAACUCCUUUUUCUGUUGUCUGGUGAAAACCUCCUUCCUUUAACUCUUUUGAAAUUCAGAUGAUGGAGCUCAAUAGGACUUAUCCCUUCUAUGUGAUCUUAAUCUAUAGGCCACCGGGACUAGCCAGGAGUUUCUUAGUGGAGUUUGUGGACUUUCUAUCCUCAACCAUCAAGCUGGAAAGAAUCCUUCUGCUGGGGGAUUUUAAUUUCCAUGUUGCUGACAGUUCAUGUCACGCUGCUUCUCAUUUUCUUACUCUCUUAGACUAGACUUUGCCCAACACACAGCGGAGGCCAUAAUUUAUCUGAAACCGAUGAUAUAGAUAUAUGUGGCCUCCUUCAACUCGCAAUGUCAAAA